CUGGCGGCGUGCCUAACACAUGCAAGUCGAACGAGAAAGUGGAGCAAUCCAUGAGUACAGUGGCGACCGGGUGAGUAACACGUGACUAACCUACCUUCGAGUGGGGGAUAACUCCGGGAAACCGGAGCUAAUACCGCAUAACAUCGCAAGAUCAAAGGAGAAAUCCGCUUGAUGAGGGGGUCGCGGCUGAUUAGCUAGUUGGCGGGGUAACGGCCCACCAAGGCGAAGAUCGGUAGCCGGCCUGAGAGGGCGCACGGCCACACUGGAACUGAAACACGGUCCAGACUCCUACGGGAGGCAGCAGUGGGGAAUUUUGCGCAAUGGGGGAAACCCUGACGCAGCAACGCCGCGUGGAGGAUGAAGCCCUUUGGGGCGUAAACUCCUUUCGACCAAGACGAUGAUGACGGUACUGGUGGAAGAAGCACCGGCUAACUCUGUGCCAGCAGCCGCGGUAAUACAGAGGGUGCAAGCGUUGUUCGGAAUUAUUGGGCGUAAAGGGCGCGUANGCGGCGCGGUAAGUCACCUGUGAAACCUCCCGGCUUAACUGGGAGCCUGCANGCGAAACUACCGUGCUGGAG
rnacentral:rRNA from 1 species